rnacentral:rRNA from 1 species
CAGCCGCCGCGGUAAUACGUAGGUGGCAAGCGUUGUCCGGAAUUAUUGGGCGUAAAGGGCUCGCAGGCGGUUUCUUAAGUCUGAUGUGAAAGCCCCCGGCUCAACCGGGGAGGGUCAUUGGAAACUGGGAAACUUGAGUGCAGAAGAGGAGAGUGGAAUUCCACGUGUAGCGGUGAAAUGCGUAGAGAUGUGGAGGAACACCAGUGGCGAGGGCGACUCUCUGGUCUGUAACUGACGCUGAGGAGCGAAAGCGUGGGGAGCGAACAGGAUUAGAUACCCCGGUAGUCCCUGUCUUUUAUAC